ensembl:lincRNA Gm40190 predicted gene, 40190
GCGGCCGCGCCCGGGGCUACGAGGCGAAGGCGGCGACCCAUCGCGGGGCCCCCGGGCUCUUCCCUGACGCCUGGACCUGCGGCUGCGAAUCAAAGCUUCUUGGAACCAGGUCUGCUCAGCUCUGAUGGCAAAGGACGGAGCCGAAGCACAGUCAGGACUUUUCGUGAGAGGACUAUGCAGGGCUCACACACCGCUGCUGUGUGCGUUCUUGCCCCUGUUUCCCAGACACCGAUCCCAUCAGGGUGAAGGGAAAGGAAGUGUCCACCCAGAACUCCUCCUAACUUUACUCCUUUUGGCAGCUUCUCUUGUUUUAUCUUCUCUCUGUGGAAUAACCUUUAGAACAGGCUAACGUCAAUCCCGGAACUCCCUGCCUAAAAGGAGUUUGGAUAAGUCAGUUGAAAUGCAUUUGAGUCUCAAGAAACAGAAGGCUCAGACAGUUGCCACCACUGUGAAGACUUGCCAUCUCACAUG